rnacentral:rRNA from 1 species
UACGUAGGGGGCAAGCGUUGUCCGGAUUUAUUGGGCGUAAAGAGCGUGUAGGCGGCUUUGCAAGUCCGUUGUGAAAACUCGAGGCUCAACCUCGAGACGCCGGUGGAAACUGCAAAGCUAGAGUCCGGAAGAGGAGGGUGGAAUUCCUGGUGUAGCGGUGAAAUGCGCAGAUAUCAGGAGGAACACCGGUGGCGAAGGCGGGUCUCUGGGCCGAUACUGACGCUGAGGAGCGAAAGCGUGGGGAGCGAACAGG